rnacentral:rRNA from 1 species
UACGUAGGGUGCAGGCGUUAAUCGGAAUUACUGGGCGUAAAGCGUGCGCAGGCGGUUUCUUAAGUCAGAUGUGAAAUCCCCGGGCUCAACCUGGGAAUGGCAUUUGGGACUGCAAGGCUGGAGUGCGGCAGAGGAGACUGGAAUUCCUGGUGUGGCAGUGAAAUGCGUAGAUAUCAGGAGGAAUACCGAUGGCGAAGGCAGGUCUCUGGGCUGACACUGACGCUCAUGCACGAAAGCGUGGGGAGCAAACAGG